AUUGAACGCUGGCGGCAUGCUUUACACAUGCAAGUCGAACGGCAGCGCGGGCUUCGGCCUGGCGGCGAGUGGCGAACGGGUGAGUAAUGCAUCGGAACGUGCCCAGUAGUGGGGGAUAGCCCGGCGAAAGCCGGAUUAAUACCGCAUACGACCUGAGGGUGAAAGCGGGGGACCGAAAGGCCUCGCGCUAUUUGAGCGGCCGAUGUCGGAUUAGCUAGUUGGUGGGGUAAAGGCUUACCAAGGCGACGAUCCGUAGCUGGUCUGAGAGGACGACCAGCCACACUGGGACUGAGACACGGCCCAGACUCCUACGGGAGGAAGCAGUGGGGAAUUUUGGACAAUGGGGGCAACCCUGAUCCAGCAAUGCCGCGUGCGGGAAGAAGGCCUUCGGGUUGUAAACCGCUUUUGUUCGGGAAGAAAUCCUCUGGGCUAAUACACCGGGGGGAUGACGGUACCGGAAGAAUAAGCACCGGCUAACUACGUG
rnacentral:rRNA from 1 species